AAGAUCAUGAAGUUAAGAUGGGCACCAUGAUCAUGAAGGUGGUUUUCCCAGGGUGAGGCUCAUCCAUUGCACUUCGGGUGUGCUGACCCUUGCAAUUUCCCCAAAUGAGGGAGACUUGACUGCAUAAUUUGUGGUAGUUUCCAUUCUUUUUAGAGCAAU